rnacentral:lncRNA from 10 species
UUCAGAGAUGUUCAAAUGUGGGGGGAAAAUGUGUAUGUGAGAAUGAUAAAAUACAUUGUAUGCAUAUAUGCACUGGGUCACUGCAAUAUGUAUUUCCUACUGUGGAUCAUGGCCAACAGAGUUUGAAAACCUCCAUUCUUUGAGGUAGAAAAGCUGACUGGAGUAUCUACGUGGUGGUUGGAGCUGCCAAGGGCACCCAACCUGGUCAACAAAUUAGUGUGCUCAGCCAGAGGCAGUCCUGGAUGAAUUCAGGCUGCAAAGUGCCCUGUGACCUGGCCCUUGGGAAGCCACGCUCUGAUGAGGUUUGCAGAUCUCCCCGCAAUCCAGGGCCAAGCAUGAAUGAAGGUGUUAGGCAUUUCAAGGAUGCGACUAGGACGUGCUGCUGUCUCAGGUUCACAUUAUACUGAAAUAAGGUCCUGGCCAGACAGCACCAUAUAGUUAAUUGAGGUGUUUGGGAGAUACUCAAAUGGGUGUUAAUAUUUCCCAGGCAAUAUUUUCAAGGCUCAGAGCCUCUAUUCAAAAGAUAACUGAAAGGCUAGCAAAGGGUAUUGCAAAGGUAUAUUCUGAUUUCUGACAGGAAGAUCGAUGGAUGGACAGUGAGAGUAUAAAGACCUUAGGGUUUGGGGUUCUGAUUUGGCCUUGGUCUGUUGAAUGAUUGAUUCAUUCAUUCAACAAAUAUUUAUACAACACCCACAGGGGGCAGGCAUUGUGCUGACUGUGGAAGAUCACAGAGAGUGUGUCAGAGUGAAAUUGACUUUGGAACUGUCUUUGGUGAGUCCACACCUUAUUUAUCCACUUCUGCUUUCUCCAGAGCUGCCUAGCCUGGUACGUAGGGGCCCUUUGCUGCAAGCUUAGGCCAGUGUCAGCUCCUGAGCCACUCCUGACUCAGUUGGAGGAGACUCAGUGUCCUCUGCCCCCUGCCUGGUGGAGCUUGGCAGCAAGUCCCAAGUUUUACAGUGUUGAGACCAAGUGGGCAGCCAUCACCAUUGAGGGGUGCCCUUUUGCUCCCCCUCGAGUCCAAGUUAUAGUAUUGCUUACUUCCUACCUGAAAUAGUUUAUGGGUCAUGGGUCUGGCUUACAUCAAGCCCCAUAGCCAGUCUGGUUGCCCCACCUAAGGUCUUGGUGCUCUUUGAUAAUAGCCACAGCUAAAUGUAUUAGUCCUGUCCUAGGAAAUGCAUGAUCUUCUCCCCAAAAAUAUAUAUAUGCCCAUCAUGCAGAUGAAAGCACUGAGACUUAUUCCAUUUCCUUCCAGUCCCUUUUGUACAGACCACACAACUGGUGCCAAUGGCGUCGCUGCCUGACUUUAAACUGUCCUGCCACUAGGAACCCUCACUGUCCAGCUCCAUAGUGCAACCAGAAGGAGGUGAGGUUUUGGCAUCUUCAGGGAGUAUCCUCAGUCUUCCUAUGUUUUGGAAUGAGUUCCAUUUCGCUGCAAAAAGAGGAGCUUCUGGGAUGAUAAAAUGAGGCAUAUCCUGCACCACUACAUGUGUCCAUACAUGAUCUGAGCAGGAAGAGCAGUGGACAAGGAGUCUGGAAUGCUGGCUCAAGUUCUGAGUCAGCCACAGCCUGCUGUGUGACUCUGAGUGAGUCACUAAGCUUCCCUGGAUUCAGUUUCCUCAACAGUCAAAUUUCUAUGGCCUUUUGGGCACCACCAUGCAUGAGAACACAAAGAGAGCAUGAUUACUCAGGGGUGUGUGCAUGUGUGAGGUAGGUUUUUCUGUUUUGUUUUGUUUUUUUUUCUUUUUCUAAGGUAGGGACUCAAGUGUAAGUGUCAUGUAUAGCAAGC